AGAGUUUGAUUCUGGCUCAGGAUGAACGCUAGCGACAGGCCUAACACAUGCAAGUCGAGGGGCAUCGGGGCGAGGAGCAAUCCUUGCCGCCGGCGACCGGCGCACGGGUGAGUAACGCGUAUGCGACCUGCCCGUUGCAGGGGGAUAAUCGGGAGAAAUCCCGUCUAAUACCGCGUAAUGCCGCGGGGCUGCAUGGCCCUGCGGCCAAAGGGAGCGAUUCCGGCAACGGAUGGGCAUGCGUGACAUUAGCUAGUUGGCGGGGCAACGGCCCACCAAGGCGACGAUGUCUAGGGGUUCUGAGAGGAAGGUCCCCCACACUGGUACUGAGACACGGACCAGACUCCUACGGGAGGCAGCAGUGAGGAAUAUUGGUCAAUGGGCGCGAGCCUGAACCAGCCAAGUCGCGUGAGGGAUGACGGCCCUACGGGUUGUAAACCUCUUUUGUCGGGGAGCAAAUUCCGCCACGUGUGGCGGAGUCGAGAGUACCCGAAGAAAAAGCAUCGGCUAACUCCGUGCCAGCAGCCGCGGUAAUACGGAGGAUGCGAGCGCUAUCCGGAUUUAUUGGGUUUAAAGGGUGCGUAGGCGGACUGUCAAGUCAGCGGUAAAAUACGGGGGCUCAACCUCCGCCCGCCGUUGAAACUGACGGUCUUGAGUGGGCGAGAAGUAUGCGGAAUGCGUGGUGUAGCGGUGAAAUGCAUAGAUAUCACGCAGAACUCCGAUUGCGAAGGCAGCAUACCGGCGCCCGACUGACGCUGAAGCACGAAAGCGUGGGUAUCGAACAGGAUUAGAUACCCUGGUAGUCCACGCAGUAAACGAUGAAUACUAGCUGUCCGGGGCGAAUGAGCCCUGGGUGGCACAGCGAAAGCGUUAAGUAUUCCACCUGGGGAGUACGCCGGCAACGGUGAAACUCAAAGGAAUUGACGGGGGCCCGCACAAGCGGAGGAACAUGUGGUUUAAUUCGAUGAUACGCGAGGAACCUUACCCGGGCUCAAACGACACAGGAACGUACCUGAAAGGGUUCGGCUCUACGGAGCCUGUGUCGAGGUGCUGCAUGGUUAUCGUCAGCUCGUGCCGUGAGGUGUCGGCUUAAGUGCCAUAACGAGCGCAACCCCCAUCGACAGUUGCUAACAGGUCAGGCUGAGGACUCUGUCGAGACUGCCGGCGCAAGCUGCGAGGAAGGCGGGGAUGACGUCAAAUCAGCACGGCCCUUACGUCCGGGGCGACACACGUGUUACAAUGGCAGGUACAGCGGGAAGCCACCUGGCGACAGGGAGCGGAACCCGAAAGCCUGUCUCAGUUCGGAUUGGAGUCUGCAACCCGACUCCAUGAAGCUGGAUUCGCUAGUAAUCGCGCAUCAGCCACGGCGCGGUGAAUACGUUCCCGGGCCUUGUACACACCGCCCGUCAAGCCAUGGAAGCCGGGGGUGCCUGAAGUGCGCUGCCGCGAGGAGCGCCCUAGGGUAAAACCGGUGACUGGGGCUAAGUCGUAACAAGGUAGC
rnacentral:rRNA from 1 species